UUGGAGGGAUUUUUGGUGCGUUUGCUGACCCAUUUAGAGAAUUCUCCUUUGGUUAUGCCAGAUAUUCCUCCAGUUCAGAAUGUGGAUCUACCUGUUGCACCUGCUUUUAUUUUGGGUACUCCUCAGACCUCGAGUACUAUUUCUCCAUCAGUGUCAGCACCUGAGUAUUUGGGAUUAGGAUUCGUGGUUCAACCUUCAUCCGUGUUACCUCCUCAGUCGGGAUCUCAACCUGUCAGAUUUGACAUACCUC
rnacentral:lncRNA from 1 species